GACGAACGCUGGCGGCGUGCUUAACACAUGCAAGUCGAACGGAAAGGCCCUGCUUUUGUGGGGUGCUCGAGUGGCGAACGGGUGAGUAACACGUGAGUAACCUGCCCUUGACUUUGGGAUAACUUCAGGAAACUGGGGCUAAUACCGGAUAGGAGCUCCUGCUGCAUGGUGGGGGUUGGAAAGUUUCGGCGGUUGGGGAUGGACUCGCGGCUUAUCAGCUUGUUGGUGGGGUAGUUGCUUACCAAGGCUUUGACGGGUAGCCGGCCUGAGAGGGUGACCGGCCACAUUGGGACGGAGAUACGGCCCAGAGUGCAACGGGAGGCAGCAGUGGGGAAUAGUGCACAAUGGGCGGAAGCCUGAUGCAGCAACGCCGCGUGCGGGAUGACGGCCUUCGGGUUGUAAACCGCUUUCGCCUGUGACGAAGCGUGAGUGACGGUAAUGGGUAAAGAAGCACCGGCUAACUACGUG
rnacentral:rRNA from 1 species